rnacentral:rRNA from 1 species
UACGGGGGGAGCAAGCGUUGUCCGGAAUCAUUGGGCGUAAAGAGCGUGUAGGCGGUUUGGUAGGUCCGCUGUGAAAACUCGAGGCUCAACCUCGAGACGCCGGUGGAAACCAUCAGGCUAGAGUCCGGAAGAGGAGAGUGGAAUUCCUGGUGUAGCGGUGAAAUGCGCAGAUAUCAGGAAGAACACCCGUGGCUAAGGCGGCUCUCUAGUACGGUACUGACGCUGAGACGCGAAAGCGUGGGGAGCGAACAGG